CUCACCAGGUCAGGACACGGUAAGGAUUGACGGACUGAAGGCUCUUUCUCGAUUCCGUGGAAAGUGGUGCAUGGCCGUUUUGGUUGGUGGAUCGAUCCGUCUGGUUAAUUCCGUUAACGAACGAGACCUCGGCACUCCGAAUAGCGCGGCGGACGUCGCGGCCUCCGGGCCGUCUUCCGCACGAGCUUCUUAGAGGGACCGUCCCCCGCCGGGGAAGGAGGUGCGAGGCAACGACAGGUCUGUGAUGCCCUUAGAUGUCUGGGCCGCACGCGCAUUACACUGACGCGUCCAACGGGUGACUCCCGACCCGAAGGGGCCGGGGAAUCCGCAAGGCGCGUCGUGAUGGGGAUUGAACGUUGCAAUGUGUUCACGAACGAGGGAAUUCCUAGUAGGCGCGGGUCAUCAACCCGCGCCGAUUACGUCCCUG
rnacentral:rRNA from 1 species